rnacentral:rRNA from 1 species
AUACAUGCAAGUCGAGCGGACCGACGGGAGCUUGCUCCCUUAGGUCAGCGGCGGACGGGUGAGUAACACGUGGGUAACCUGCCUGUAAGACUGGGAUAACUCCGGGAAACCGGGGCUAAUACCGGAUGCUUGAUUGAACCGCAUGGUUCAAUCAUAAAAGGUGGCUUUUAGCUACCACUUACAGAUGGACCCGCGGCGCAUUAGCUAGUUGGUGAGGUAACGGCUCACCAAGGCGACGAUGCGUAGCCGACCUGAGAGGGUGAUCGGCCACACUGGGACUGAGACACGGCCCAGACUCCUACGGGAGGCAGCAGUAGGGAAUCUUCCGCAAUGGACGAAAGUCUGACGGAGCAACGCCGCGUGAGUGAUGAAGGUUUUCGGAUCGUAAAACUCUGUUGUUAGGGAAGAACAAGUACCGUUCGAAUAGGGCGGUACCUUGACGGUACCUAACCAGAAAGCCACGGCUAACUACGUGCCAGCAGCCGCGGUAAUACGUAGGUGGCAAGCGUUGUCCGGAAUUAUUGGGCGUAAAGCGCGCGCAGGCGGUUUCUUAAGUCUGAUGUGAAAGCCCCCGGCUCAACCGGGGAGGGUCAUUGGAAACUGGGGAACUUGAGUGCAGAAGAGGAGAGUGGAAUUCCACGUGUAGCGGUGAAAUGCGUAGAGAUGUGGAGGAACACCAGUGGCGAAGGCGACUCUCUGGUCUGUAACUGACGCUGAGGCGCGAAAGCGUGGGGAGCGAACAGGAUUAGAUACCCUGGUAGUCCACGCCGUAAACGAUGAGUGCUAAGUGUUA